rnacentral:rRNA from 1 species
AAUGAACGCUGGCGGCAUGCCUAACACAUGCAAGUCGAACGAGACCACCGGGAGUAGUGGCGCAUGGGUGUGUAACGCGUCGGAACCUUCCCUUAUGCAUGGAAUAACUCUUCGACAGGGGUGCUAACACCGGAUAAUGUCUUCUAACCCAACAUAUAUCGCACUGGGUUGGGCAGGCGUUGCAUUAGCUUGUUGGGAGGGUAAAAGCCUACGACGGAGAAGAUCCAUAGCUGGUUUGAGAGGAUGAUCAGCCACACUGGGACUGAGACACGGCCGAGACUCCUGCGCGAGGCGGCAGUGGGGGAUAUUGGAAAAUGGGGUAAGUCCUGAUCCAGCAAUGGCGCGUGAGUGAUGAAGGCCUUAGAGUUGAAAAGCUCUUUUACCCGGGAUGAUAAUGACGGUACCGAAAGAAUAAGCUCCGGCUAACUCCGUG